AUUCUUUUAGUAUCAACAAGUACAGCUGACUUCCAAUCAGCCAGUCCCGGUAAAACCCAGGAAAGAAUA
rnacentral:tRNA from 1 species